CCACAAGUUUGGCCACAAGUACCCGGAGAUUGACAAAAACCCUUGCAAAAACCACACAACUUGCACACAAUUCACUCAUUCAUCCUUGGAUUCAUCUGGUAAAACCAAAUAAAAGGCGUAGGUAAUAAAGUUUGCUAGCGAAGUUGUCGAUGGUGACCGGUGAAAGACUCGUGGAAAAUUUACUCUAACUGGUAGACAACAUACAAAUCGGUGAUAAGACGGAUAAAGGGUAUUUGUUGCAACAAGUUUCAGAAGAAAGCAAUGGAAAAAUCGAUUGGCAAAAUUCACCAACUGUGUUGCAAACGAUCGACCACAAUCCGACAUUAGUUGGAGCAAUCAACGAUACCAACAAUGCGUUUCAUAAGCGUCAAGACGUUCGACCUCAGAUCCGGGAAAAAAACAACAUCUUCUACCGGAUUGAGCUGGAUGAUCAGAUUGAGGAAGCUAAAUCCUUGGCUUAAUCUAAAAAUAAAACACAAGUUUGAAUAGGCAAAUUUGGUGCGAAUUCGAAUUCAUAUCGAACAAAAAACACAAAAUAUUAUAUUGAGGCACUGUUCAUUUAUCAGCAACAAACAGCAAUAAAACUACAGAAAAAUACAACAAACAUCUAGUAAUUUACGAUCAAGCUUUUUAAAUCCACAAAAAUAUAUAUUGAAACAUAUAAUAAUAAUCUAGUUAUGUUUCAAAAACGUUUCGAUUCUAUUAAAUUUUUUUCUUCAUUUUUGGUUUUUUCUACUUCCGUUUUCGCUCUAAAUCUAAUGAUCUUUGUUACAUCUGCUUAUAAAAAAAUAAGAAU